rnacentral:rRNA from 1 species
GUGGUGUGGACGUUUAUUGGGCCUAAAGCAUCCGUAGCUGGCUGAACAAGUCCCCUGUUAAACCCACCGAAUUAAUCGUUGGAUUGCGGGGGAUACUGCUUGGCUAGGGGACGAGAGAGGCAGACGGUAUUUUCGGGGUAGGGGUGAAAUCCUAUAAUCCCGGGAAGACCACCAGUGGCGAAGGCUGUCGGCUAGA